rnacentral:lncRNA from 1 species
AGUUCUCCAUGAGAAUGUAGCAGCCUUUCUUUUCUAUUUUUUUGCGUGAAAUCCGAAUUUUCAAACCCUAGCUGUGUUUUUGCUUAAGUACUCAUAGAAAAUUGGGCUUAAAAAGCUACGGGUCGAAAAACAUAAGUUUGACCCGAAAUUACAUUAUUUUCAUAAAGUCUGGAACAUAAACGUAAAUAUUUGACACACUUGCGCUCCGAACUGGGUUUUUUCCUCAACAUGAAAGUUGUAGCUCUUGAUUUCAGCUUUCCAACGCAUCUUCCGGCGCCUCAAUCCGAUAUUCGUAGCUCCAGUUAUGACCUGCGGACUGGAAGUGUGUCAAAGUGCUAUUUAUUCAUAAAUUAAGUGCGAAAAUAAAAUAAAGUUAGAAAUAAACUUAAAUAUAAAAACACAUUAAAAUAGUAAAAAUAGUAAAUUAAACCAUAGGAAUACACUAGUACAAUAGUAAAAGAAUGUGCAUUAAAAUGCACUGAUCAG